rnacentral:lncRNA from 1 species
ACGAUGGAGAAAGUAUAUAAAAGGAGGCACGUUCUUUUAUCAUCAGCUUUCAGGCCUCUCAGCUGUUUGUAGUGCAACAUAUCGUUACUCAGGAACUUAAAAAUGAAGGUUUUCUACGUCUUCCUCGCUCUCGCGGUCGUCGUCGCCUCCGUUGUCGCCAUGGAGGAGGAGAACGAUCUCUUCGAUAUGAUGGACAAGCGAUCGAUGGAGGAAGGAGAUCUCUUGGAAGAGAUGGCCUAUGGAAGCGAGCCAAUGGUGAAGAGAGGACGAUUCAAAUACUGCAAGAAUCUCAACGGUGAUAACUGUGUCUGUGAUCGAAAAUACAGACGUAACAGUAGGAGACGUUAUGUCAACUGCAGACCAGCCGACAAAGGAACACCCGUUUAAACUUCAGACUACAGACAUACACAUUUUUAUUAUGGAUUGAUAAAUGAUUCAGAAGAGUCCACAACUAUCUUCAAAAAAUCUAUACUGGUCGUCAAACAUCAUCCCAUUAUUCUUCAAGCAAGUCAGUGGGCAAAUUUCGCAGAAAAGAUGGAAAACAACAUUUUUACUGUUGAUGUAUAAUAAAUACCCUGUUCAAGUCA